UACUCUUAUUUUGAUUCUCUCUCCCUUUUGGAAUGGGAAUGUCUGUCCUAUACCUGUAACACCAUUUUAUCUUGAAAGUGGAUAACUUGCCUCAAUUUCGGAGGUUUACAAGUAAGACUCUGGAAUUUGGACUUUUGAGCUGAUGCUGAUGCUGAAAUGAGUUUUUGGGGCUAUGAGGAUGGAAAAAAACGUAUAUGUAUUUAAAGUUGUGAGAAAGACAUAAGUUUUGGAGAUCCAAGGGCAGAACACUAUGACGUGAAAGUUUGUUCCCUCUGAAAUUCAUGUUGCAUGAACUUUGUCCCCAGUGUGGCAGUAUCGAGAGGUAAGGCCUUCAAGAGGUAAUUGGAUCACGGCCCUCAGGAGGGAAUUUAUCAAUUAAUGGAUUAAUGGAUUAAUGAAUUGUCAUGGGAGAGAUAUUAGUGGUUUCAAAAGCAGAGAAAGAGAGACCUGAGCUAGCACACUCCUCCCCUUCACCAUGCGAUGCCCUUCACUACCUUGCGACUCUACAGCGAGUCACCACCAGCAAUGAGACGCUCAUCAGAUAUGGAUCCUCAACCUUGAAAUGCUCAUCUCCAUACUGCUUUGAAAUAAUCAUUAAAACUAUACAUUUAACAAGAUCGGAGUCAUAUGGUGCGCAUCUGCCAGCACAGGUUGCCACCUUUGGACAGAUGAAAAUACUGAGGCAGAGAAAAGUUAAGUAAGUUCCCCAAAGAGAAAUACACAGCUAAGAAGUGUUAGUUUAACCUGACCAUGUGGCAGAAAGCCAGAUAUGCAAAGAAAAACAUGGGGGAAUGGAUCAAGAAUGGUAAAUUGACAUAUUAUUAUAAAAGAAUUUAAAUGAAAAUUUAAGAUGUUUUGUGUCAAAUAAAUGAAUGAGAGUCAUCGUAGAAUAAUACAAGAGGACAUCACCAAGGGAAUGAGCCUAGACCAAGAAAGGUACUACAAACUGGGUCUGAAGCACUGUGAACAGGGUGGAAGAAGAGCAAAACAUAAAACCUGUUUCAGAGAAUGAGUGACAAGUUUUGUUGGGUCAAAUACAGCGACUGCUCAUGUAU
rnacentral:lncRNA from 10 species